rnacentral:rRNA from 1 species
GAUAAACGCUAGCGGCAGGCCUAACACAUGCAAGUCGAGGGGCAGCAUAAUAAGUGGCAACACUUAUGAUGGCGACCGGCGGACGGGUGCGUAACGCGUAUGCAACCUACCCUUAACAGGGGGAUAAUCUGGAGAAAUCCGGUCUAAUAUCCCAUAAUACCGAUGGAGGCAUAUUUGUUGGUUGUACUUUUCGAAGGUUAAGGAUGGGCAUGCGUGACAUUAGUUAGAUGGUGAGGUAACGGCUCACCAUGACGUCGAUGUCUAGGGGGACUGAGAGGUUUUCCCCCCACACGGGUACUGAGACACAGACCAGACUCCUACGGGAGGCAGCAGUGAGGAAUAUUGGUCAAUGGAAGGAAUUCUGAACCAGCCAUGCAGCGUGCAGGAAGACGGCUCUAUGAGUUGUAAACUGCUUUUGUACGAGGGUAAACCUGGAUACGUGUAUCCAGUUGAAAGUAUCGUACGAAUAAGGAUCGGCUAACUUCGUGCCAGCAGCCGCGGUAACAC